ACGGAGCCCGCGGGGCGUAGGGCGGAGGCCCAGCCCCAGACGAGGCUGCUCAGGGCACCGGGGCCCGCAGCGAGGUGCUGGGGGCAGCAGGGCCCGUCCUGCCUAGGAGCUGCUGCCGGAGCCUCGGCGUCUCCCUGCCUGCUAUGGCAGAUGCAACUCCCCACAUGGGAAACCAGGAAGAAGAUUUUGCUGAUGAGUGUGAGAAGGUCAGUUCUUCAUUGCUAGUAGAACCUGAAGACUCAUGAAGAGAAAGAAGCUCUGAGGACCUUGCGAAGUGCUGUGAUCAGCUGUAUUCACAUAAUAAUCUCCCCAGAACUGCAAGAAAAAGGAUACAAACCACAUCCAUCUUUGUGAUCUGGAUCCAGACACCGCUUGACAAACUCCAUCUGGUCUGGGUAGCACCGUUC